GCCUCCCGGGUUCACGCCAUUCUCCUGCCUCAGCCUCCCGAGUAGCUGGAACUACAGGCGCCCGCCAUGAUGCCCGGCUCAUUUUCUGUGUUUUCAGUAGAGACGGGGUUUCACUGUGUUAGCCAGGAAAGUCUUGAUCUCCUGACCUCGUGAUCCUGACCUCGGCCUCCCAAAGUGCUGGGAUUACAGGCGCGAGCCACCGCGCCCGACAGCAGUUAUGAAGUUCUAAAAGCAAGUCUUAAUCAGGAAGUGUCCUUGAUCACCAACGGCUCGCCCAGGCAUGCUGGCUCUCUUCCACUUCCACCUUCCACCAUGGGAUGACGCAGUAAGAAGGCCAUCAGUAGAUGCCAGUCCCUCAACCUUGAACUUUCCAGACGCAGAACUUUAUGCCUCCAUUUUCCUCUGCUGCAUGGCCCCAGGAGAGAUUUUAAUUAGCUUUCUAACCUUGGUCCAGAUUGCACAUGCAAAUGGUAGAGGAUGCAACACCCCCGCUUGUGGAGCUGCCGCUUGUGUCUGGCAUGAAAAUUCACAAGAAGAGAGGAAAUACUGAGGAGAAAAUGGCAGAUUGUGUUUGCUGAAUUUGAUUGACGAAGAAGUCACCAUGAAAAUCACAGUGAACCAUUUGGAAAGCAAACUGCCAAAAAAUAAUAGUUAGUCAUGCUCUCAGGCUGGUAAUUGAAAGUUUUGUUCAAAUCGUACUUAAUAUUCAAUAAUUGUUUAACCAUACCACUGCUUAUCUUGGGAAUGCUGAUACUAUGGAGACAAUAAGAUAAGGUGGCUGCUGAAAAUCAGAUUUAGACACUACUUUGAUUAUAAUCAUUUUUUUUGUAUAUCCCAUGAAGGUAUUAUAUGUUAGUGGUUGUUCUAUGCUUAAUAUUUAUAUAGCAACAAAGAGUAAAUAAACUGCAAUUUAUACAUGUUAUAUUGUUGACCUAUGCUAAAAGUUAAUUACCAUAAUGAAAUGGUUUGGCUGUGUCCCCACCCAAAUCUCAUCUUGAACCCAUAAUCCCCAUGUGUCCUGCUGCUGGACCCAGUGGGAGGUAAUUGAAUCACAGGGGCAGUGUCUCCCACGCUGUUCUCAUGAUAGAGAGUUCUCAUGAGAUCUGAUGGUUUUAUAAGUGUCUGGCAUUUCCCUGCUUGUACUCAAUCUCUUGCCUGCCACCCUGAGAAAAGGUGCCUUCUGACAUGAUUGUAAGUUUCCUGAGGCCUCCCCAACCAUGUGAAACUGUGAGUCAAUUAAACCUCUUUUCUUUAUAAGUUACCCACUAUGAAGUAUUUCUUCACAGUAGCGUGAUAACUGAAUAAUACAUGUAACAAUUACAUGAACAAAUUAUUACAAGUUUGAGGUACAUCAGGUUUAAAUUAAGGAAAAAUGUUUAAAGAAUUUUCCUCCUCAAUGUUUCUUAGGGUCGAAGAGGCGUUUAUGUUUGUUUAUGAAUAGGUCCUCGAAGGUAAAACAUAGGCUUUAACAUUCUGAGGCCAAGGAUGGAGCUGUGUCUGAUUUAUAAAGUUUCAGACGCAGUAGAACAAUUGACAUGAGAAACUAGUCUUCCUCUGAGGCUGGUGAAGCUGCAGAUCAGCACACACUCAGACUUGGUACAGAGAAACAGACCAUUCUCCCAUUAGCCUUUGGUAUACUUCAGUCACCUGGGGUAGAGUGAUUUCUGUGAUUUCUAAACCUUCUGUCCUACUCAUCUUACAGGCCAUGUCCAUCCUCAGAACUCAUGCUUUCCUUUAUUGUAGCUUCUGUUCUACGACUCCUCUAAUACAUUUUUCUUAGGAGCUUCAUUGAGAUAUAAUUUAUAUCCCAUAACAUUCACAUUUGAAAUGUGGCAUCCAGUGUUUUUUAUUGUAGUCACAGACUUAUGCAACUAUCACAUCGAAUUUUAGAAUAUUUUCACCGCCCUCUGAAAAAAACUAAAUAACAAUUAGCAGUAGCUCCCCGUUUCUUUUCUCUGCCAAACCACUAGCAACUAUUAAUCUAUUUUCUGUCUUUAGCCAUUUGGCAUUCCGAACAUUUAAUACAAAUACGAUCAUUUAAUAUGUGGUCAUUUGUUAGUUUGUUUCUUUUUAAAAUAUGGGCUUUUUGACUGGCUUCUUUCACUUUGCAUAAUGCUUUCAAGGUUCAUCCAGAUUUUAGCAGGUACACAUACUUCAUUCCUUUUUUAUGCCUGAAUGAUAUUUUGUGGUAUUUUUUGCUGUUAUGAAUAAUUCACUGUUUGGCCACCGUAAAUAUGCAUGUAUAAGUCUUUUGGGGACAUGAUUUUAUUUUGGAGGAUAGAUACUUAGAUGUUGAAAUAUUGGUUCAUAUAAUAGAUCUGUGUUUAAAUAUUUGAGGAACACUUCUUGAUGGUAUUGUGACACAAAUCUAUUAUGCAUAUAUGUAUGUAUUUACAUUGAGUAUGCUUUUGGUGUAAUAUCUAUCAAAGGUUAUGAAGAUUUACUGUUAUAUUUUCUUCUAAGAAUUUACAAUUUUACCUCUUACAUUUGUCUCUGUGAUUCAUUUUUCAGUUAAUUCUUGUGCAUGGUGUGAGGUAGGAGGACAAUUUCAUUCUUUUUUGUGCGACAAUUCAGUUUUCCCAGAACUAUUUAUUGACAAGUCAAUAAAGUGAAUUGUAGCAUAGAAAAUAUUGCAUUGAAUUAUCUUGGCACCUGUAUCAAAAGUCAGUUGAUCAUAAAUGUAAGAAUUUAUUUCUGGAACCUUAUUUCUAUUCCAUUAGUUGAUAUAUCUCUCCUUGUGUUAGUACCAUAAUGUCUUAAUUGCUAUAGCUUUGUAUUAAGUUUUGAAACAGGGUAGUAUAUGUCCUUCACCUUUGUUCUUUCUUGCCAGGUUGUUUUGGCUGUUGUGGGUUUCUUGCAUUUCCAGAUGAUUGCAAAGAGCUGUUUCUCAAUUUCUGCAACAAGUGCCAGCUGAAAUUUUGGUACCAGUUUCAUUAAAUAUGUAGAACAAUUUGAGCCUGAGUGAGUUCUGUGGAGCCCAUACUACCUGCGAUUCAAGCCAGCAACCUUGGAAUCUCCCUGAACAAUUUCUAUGGUGUCCAAUCACAUUUGCAAUCACUCCCCACACUCAGUAGGUUCUGCCCCCACAUCAUUUCUUUUCUCUAUCCUCUUUCCCAGCUUUAUAAUAUGACUUAGUUCAAGCCCUAAUCACUGGAUUAUUCAAAGUCCCUUAACAGGUUAAUUCCUACUGUGAUCAACACUUUAAAGGAAGGCAAUAGGGCCAGGCAUGGUGGCUCACGGCUGUAAUCCCAGCACUUUGGGAGGCUGAGGCGAGUGGAUCACAAGGUCGGGAGUUUGAGACCAGCCUGACUAACACAGUGAAACCCCGACUCUACUAAAAAUACAAAAAAUUAGCCAGGUGUGGUCGUGGGUACCUGUAGUCCCAGCUACUAGGGAGGCUGAGGCAGGAGAAUGGCGUGAACCCGAGAGGCGGAGCUUGCAGUGAGCCAAGAUUACGCCACUGCACUCCAGCCUGGGUGACGGAGCGAGACUCCAUCUCAAAAAAAAUAAAAAAUAAAUAAAACAGAAAGGCAAUGGCUAUCCCAAAUUGCUGAAGCCUUUGCUAAAAGCACAGACAGAAAACAACAAUAUGGUGAUGUUUGUGUUAAACAAAUGUUAUUGAUUCUAGGACACAGGUCAGAUGGCAAAUAGUCAAACUCAAAUGUUGAUCCCAGGGGUGGCUGUAUCAUCACUAAGGCCAAAUCACAACUUUGACUGGUCUCAUGGGAACACAGAUCUUGGGUUUGGAAAGAGCACAGGCCUGGCCAUGGGAAUGGACACAGGGUAAUUUUAAGAUGACUAGAGGUUCCUCAAACCCUAAAAGUACCACUGAACCUUGUUUAAAGCUAAAAUGGCUCCUAAAUGAUAGACACGUUUCUCAGUUAUCUCUGCAAACUGAAGAUCCUAUCAGCCUGUUCAGGGUCUCACAGGCCUCUGGGUUUGUACAUGAUGUCCCUACAGUGGCGAUGGGGACUGAUGAGAGCCACCGUUCCCAUUGGAGGAGGGCAAGCUGCCACUGAGUGUCAGCUGCUGGAGUAAACAUCCAAUCACAUGUGUACCUGUAUCCUAUGGAUAUUGGCUUCCCCUCAUACAACUUGUUGUUCCUUUGUUUUCCAUUCCUGACUAUAUUUGAAUCUUUCUUGGAUUUCCAGGAAACAUCUGACUGCUUUCCUAUGCCACUUCAUACCCAAGAGAAGCUCAGGGAGAUCCUUUAAGGUCCUUUAUGCCCAUUAUGAUAGUACAUGAAUAGGUAAAUGUACCACUGCUCCCUGUACUUCUUGGAUAAUGCACAAAUAGUAAGACAGUCUCGCAACCAGCAGCCUAGACAGCCCAAAUAUGUGAAACCAAAACAGCUUGAUCUUCCAGACCUGUUCUGACUCCUUGAGUCUUAAAUCUCCAAGCCUCUUGAAUGUUUCACCCACAGCCUUCCCUUUGGGAUCUGGCAUGGGACAGGAAGGGCAGAGAAGGGCCUGGGGCUUUUCCUCAGGGAUCCACCACAGUCUAGGCCAGUGGGUGGCAAACUUUUUCUGCAAAGGAUCAGCUGGGAGAUAGUUUCAACUUUGUAGUCUCGUCGCAGCUACUCUACUCGACUCUGCCACUGGAGUGUGAAUGCAGUCAUGAAUAAAAGAAUGAAAGUUUUCCAGUGAAACUUUAGUCACAAAAACAGUCUGCAGGCUGUGUCUGGCCCGUGGGCUUUGGUUUGCUGGCCUGCGGGCUCCUAGAAGGCUCUGACUUUAUCCCUCUAUGAGGGAAAGCAGGUUUUGGGGUAUUCUCCCAAAUCUUUAUACCUUAUGUCUGUGUCUCUUUUUAAAUUAAAAGUAAAAUUUAGGCCAGAUGCCAUGACUCACACCUGUAAUCCCAACAUUUUGGGAGGCUGAGGAGGGAGGACCACUUGGUUCCAGGAGUUCACAACCAGACUGGACAACAUAGCAAGACCUAGUCUCUACAAAAGAAAAAAAAAUGAAAAUUUAGCAGAGCAUGGUGGUGCUUCCCUGUAGUCCCAACUACUAGGGAGGCUGAGGUGGGAGGAUUGCUGAAGCCCAGGAAGUCGAGGCUGCAGUGAGUCAUUGUUACACCAGUGUACUCCAGACGGG
rnacentral:lncRNA from 1 species